AAUAUGAUAACGUCAGGAAAAAAUAAUGAUAUAACCUUACUAUUAGUGUUGUCCAAAGCUGGUGCCAGAAGACUCGGUAAGGCCAGAGACGCAAACGUUAAUCGUCCUAAUCAGGCGUAAAGGGUGUGUAGGCUGCUUUAAAAGUUUUAUUUAUAAAAGCUCUUUCUUUUUAACUAGCGACAAAUGCUAUUAUAUUAAUUAGAGCAGCAACCUAAAUAGGUGUUUUCUUUAGCUAAAAUAUUAGCAUUUUUAAAAAAGCUACGCGGUAUGCUAUCGCUGCUCCCAAGUCUUUUCGCAUGUUGUUGCUUAAGGUACUAGGGGCCCAGUGGUUAUACGCCACACCGCAGCGCUGCGUAAAGGCAGCGCAAAGAAAGAUAAUAUAAAAUGAAUAAAAGCUAGAAUCAUAAAGAGGAUAAACCAAAUAAUACUUAGAGUAGGGUUGAUAUCUGUAAAUACUAAGGGGAAUACUAACGGUGAAAGCUUUUUAUCUAAUAAUGAUUGACGCUGAGAAACGAAGGUGAGAAUAGGAAAUAGGAUUAGAUACCCAGAUACCUCUCACUGUCAACGAUGAAUGGUGGUUGUUAGUAAUAAUAAAACUAGUAACGAUGUUAACACGAUAACCAUUCCGCCUUGCGAGUACGGUUGCAAAACUGAAACCAAAAAAAUUAGUCGGUCUCGGAGCAAACGAAUGAAGCAUGUUAUUUU
rnacentral:rRNA from 1 species